rnacentral:rRNA from 1 species
AUACGUAGGGGGCGAGCGUUGUCCGGAAUGACUGGGCGUAAAGGGCGUGUAGGCGGCGGUGUAAGUCUGGAGUGAAAGUCCCGCAUUCAAUGUGGGAAUUGCUUUGGAUACUGCAGUGCUAGAGUGCGGAAGAGGUAAGUGGAAUUCCCAGUGUAGCGGUGAAAUGCGUAGAGAUUGGGAGGAACACCAGUGGCGAAGGCGAUUUGCUGGACUGCAACUGACGUUGAGAUGCGAAAGCUAGGGGAGCAAACGGGAUUAGAUACCCCGGUAGUCCUAGCCGUAAACGAUGGAUACUAGGUGUAGAGGGUAUCGACCCCUUCUGUGCCGCAGCGAACGCAAUAAGUAUCCCGCCUGGGGAGUACGGUCGCAAGACUGAAACUCAAAUGAAUUGGCGGGG